GAACGCUAAUACCGCAUACGUCCUACGGGAGAAAGCAGGGGACCUUCGGGCCUUGCGCUAUCAGAUGAGCCUAGGUCGGAUUAGCUAGUUGGUGAGGUAAUGGCUCACCAAGGCGACGAUCCGUAACUGGUCUGAGAGGAUGAUCAGUCACACUGGAACUGAGACACGGUCCAGACUCCUACGGGAGGCAGCAGUGGGGAAUAUUGGACAAUGGGCGAAAGCCUGAUCCAGCCAUGCCGCGUGUGUGAAGAAGGUCUUCGGAUUGUAAAGCACUUUAAGUUGGGAGGAAGGGUUGUAGAUUAAUACUCUGCAAUUUUGACGUUACCGACAGAAUAAGCACCGGCUAACUCUGUGCCAGC
rnacentral:rRNA from 1 species